CUCAGUUCAGAUUGCAGGCUGCAACCCGCCUGCAUGAAGUCGGAAUUGCUAGUAAUGGCAGGUCAGCAUACUGCCGUGAAUACGUUCCCGGGCCUUGUACACACCGCCCGUCACACCAUGAGAGUCGGGAACACCCGAAGUCCGUAGCCUAACCGCAAGGAGGGCGCGGCCGAAGGUGGGUUCGAUAAUUGGGGUGAAGUCGUAACAAGGUACC
rnacentral:rRNA from 1 species